GGAGCUUCUGGGCAAGGACAGGUAUACUAAGCCUCUGAAUUCCUCCAGUUGUAGUAAAGGUCUGGUGUCACAUUACUGUUCAACCAGCCUAAGAAGACAGAAGACUAUCUCUAAGAAGAACAUUCUCCUAACCCAGAAUUGCUUCCCAGUCAGUAAUUUUAAUAUAUAAUUCUGAGAGCUUUGUUACAGACAGCACAAAAAUAAUUUUGUUCUUGUGGUUUCAGUGGUUCUGAGAAGCAACAGCAACACAUCCUGAGGAUGGUUUUCACCACAUUUGGGACAACGGCUCGGGCACCAGAGUUCACCAUGGGCACACUUGGACGACCAGGUCACUGCUUUCUGGAAAAAGCAGAGUAAACAUAACUACACCUUUGUCAUUGAGUCAUGCCAGCUUUUGAUUCUAUGCCCUAGUACUCUGCCAAGCAGACCAAAGUCUGAAGAGGCCAGUCUGCUCUUCUGGAGACCAGGGUAGUGAGCUUCUUGUGUGUCCUCAUUCAAAUUCCACCAUUUCAUGAUCACUACUUCCCAGGCUGUGCUUGAGCUUCACAUUCCCCACCAGUCUCUUCUUGUCAGCAAGAACAUAGUCCAGCAUAGCACCUCUGUCAUUGGUUCCCCUGUCACUUGGAGAAGGAGGUUAUGAUCAGUGCAUCCCAGGAGCCUCCUGGAUUGCCUGUGCCUGGCUUUGUUGUUCCUCCAACCAAUAUUGUGGUGGUUGAAGUCACUCAUAAAGACUAGAGCUUGUGAAUGCCCUGGUGUGUUUGAAGCAUCUGGGGAAAUCCCAAAAUUGUAUCAUUUCCCAAAAUGAGAAAAUACAUUCUAUUCUAGCAAUAACUCAGUAGUGUGUUAGCCAUCAAAGCUAAUUUUAAAAUAACACAUUCAAUUUUAAAAUACUGAGUAACUAUGAGCCAAAACCAGAGCAAUAAAUGGAGGAUCCUAACUGAGCAAGUAUAUUCAUAUUGGAGUUAUUUUAGGAAUUAUUUUUUGCUAUGUGUUAUUUAAUUCUUGUUUUAAAUGUCAUCAACAUUGCACAAAAUUAUUAAUGAUACUCACAGAUGACCCAAAAGAUUUGAGAUAUAAUAAACAAAGAUAGGUCAUUGAUACACACCAGAUGGCUUUAAUAAAUUGGGGGCAAACAGACAAGUGUUUUGUUGGUAACUAUUAAAGUAAAACAUUUGUGAACAGAGAAAUCAGCAUGUCCUUUUUACUCUUAUAUUUAUGACCUUUACAUUUAGUGUGCCCAUCUAAUUCUAGAUCUUCAGAACAGAGAAAACCAAAUAUGGAGCCAUUGAAGGCCAGCUGAACAAGUUGUUCUAGAAGUGAAUUUCUCUAAUAAACAGCCUUUUAUUUUAGUUAUUAUUUGGGGAUUUGGAGGAGGAAUGAAGAGAUGCAGAAAGAUUUGUCAAGACAGGUCAUCAUGGGCAUGGAUAGGUGAAUUCCCAAGCACGUAGUGGAGGAAGAUGCUGUGCUUAAGCUCCCACACAGAUGAGCUGCAGCUGGAGAGAAUGACUGCCUGCUCCAUGGACCCAAGCAUGGAGAGUUCCCAUGCUGACCUCUCAGCUGCAAGGAGCUUCUGACAAAGCUUACUCCUAUAUGAUUUUGUGAGGCCUUCAAAGGGUGGAUUGAAGACACACUGCUCUGUACUUUCCCCUAGAGAAUAAGCAAAUAAUUUCUGCUUAUUUUGGCACUUCAGUCUACCAACAAAAAAGUCCUACUGCGGCAAAUUAGACUGUCAUUCUCAUAACAGGCUGACUUGAUUACUACAGUCGCAAAGCUUGUUUUGCAAUUCAAACCUUGUCAAACCAAAUCCAAAAUUAUUUUCCUGGAUAAAUCCAAUUAAAAUAUAAAUACUCAAUCAGAACACAUUUUCUGUAAUUACCAAGCGAUUCUGUGAAAAGACUGUUAAAGUAGGCUAAAUUGCCUCUCUUACCCUGCCAGCCCUUCCUGCCCUCCCAGGGGCACCUUUCUGAAACAGUGGUGUGCUUGGCAGGGAGGCAGGAGAUCAGCCUGCAUCUGCAGAGCUCCCCAUUUGGGGCUGGUUUGCAGGCAUCUGUGCUCCACUCAGCUCUAGUACUGCUCCAAAGGGAGAAAGGAUUCCUGACAACACAGUGUCUAAUGAAAAUGGACACCUCUCCUAUCCUCUUUUUUCAUUUGAGGUCCUCUCCUAGCUGGAUAUGCUUCUGUCAAAUCAGUCAAGGCAUCAGCAAGCUUUGCUCUGUGUUUGCAUAAAGACAGCAAUAUUUUAAAUUGUGAUAGUCAUUUGUCAUAUGCUUCUAUUUAAAUAAAAAGAAUUCUAUAAAAAUUUCCAUGUGCAAGUGUUAGAAGUUUCCUGUUUCUGUAAAGCUGGCAGACAUGUCAUCAGCACUACUAAUUCUGAGAAAACUGAAGAAAAAAUGCCAAUUUAUUUUUUUAACUGCUUUUUUUUGUUAGUUGGCCACCUUGAUGUUUGCAGUAGCUUUGUGUUUGUAGGGUCUGAUAUCUGAGUGGCAGCUUAAAUGUCUCAAAGAAUUCAUAACAGCCCCCCUCAUUUUUGUGUUACUAUUUUCCCCAAUUAAAAUCAUGGGGUAUCAGGCCAGGAUGAGGGUUUCACGAAAACCAGCUGCUAUGAAAAAUCCUUCUGAAGCAACAAGGUUGUGUACAGGAGUGAGUAUGUGUUCAGAUGCAUUUCUGAGGAAAGGUUUCUUCCAUCUAAAAAUGGCAGUUGGUUAAACUGAAUAUUUUCCAGGAAUGGCAUGGUUUUGACAAUAGCAACAAGAACACGGAUGUGAAGAACCUGGGCCAGGGCAAUUUUGUGGGAGGAGAAGGAAAGUCAUACCAGUCAGAUUCUUUGAGAGCAAAAGAGUUUUCCCACUACCCUGGAUGGUGUCUCACCGUGGAGCCAUUCUUUGUCCUCACUUUUCUGCUGGAGAUACUCCAUUUUAGAGAAUAAUCACAAGUUGUCUGGGCUGGGCUGCAGGAGAGAAGCUGUGGCUUGGAUGGGCUUGCAGGCAGAUGCUGGAGCUGAAGCCACAUGGGGAAGCUGAUACAGCUUUUUCCCAUGCCUGGAAAUACCAGUGCUUCUGCAGAUCUGGUUGUUGUGGGAUCAUCUCACUACUCUUUCCUGCUUUUAUUGGAAACUGCAAUUUUACACUUAAUUGUGAAAUAAACUAUCUGGUGAAUAUAGAAAUAAAAGACAUUGUGAAUGUUUUCAUAGACAAAAUUAUUGUUUUCUAGCCGGACUCUGACAUGACAAAAAGGUGACAGGCUGUUGUGGUGACCAAAGGCCUUCUGGAAUUCUCAAAGUUGAGCUCAGAUCCCCACAGCAUUUUUAGUGCUGUGUUUCACUUCAACCAGGCAAAGAGGAAAAGAAAGAAGUUCCCUAUCUCCAAAAUGUUCAUUCCCAUGCCAACAAGCAUCUUUGUACUGAUGAGACCUAGAUUAAGAAUUUAUGUAUCAUUAUAUUUCAAAGAUGCACUUUAAGGAUUUAUGUGUUACAACUUCCAGAGUAAUACAGACUGUACUUGUCCAGAGCUGUUUCUACAUUUCAUUUUUUCAACACAUGAUUACUCCAUACUUGCCUCAAGAUAAUUUGUGGAAAAUUUUAUAA